rnacentral:pre_miRNA from 1 species
AAACUACUCCCUCCGUUCCAAAAUUCUUGUCUUACAUUUGUCUAGAUAUAAAUGCAUCUAGUCAUGUUUUAGUACUUAGAUACAUCCAUUUUUAGACAAAUUUAAAACAAGAAUUUUGGGACGGAGGGAGUAUAUA